GUAUCAUGUAAAUGGUAAGUCGCUCUGGAUAAGAGCAUCUGCUAAAUGACGUAAA
rfam:Salmo salar isolate Sally breed double haploid chromosome ssa20, whole genome shotgun sequence.